rnacentral:rRNA from 1 species
UACGUAGGUGGCGAGCGUUGUCCGGAUUUACUGGGCGUAAAGGGAGCGUAGGCGGUUUUUUAAGUGGGUUGUGAAAUCCCUGGGCUUAACUCAGGAAUUGCAAUCCAUACUGGGAAACUAGAGUGCAGGAGAGGAAAGUGGAAUUCCAAGUGUAGCGGUGAAAUGCGUAGAGAUUUGGAGGAACACCAGUGGCGAAGGCGACUUUCUGGACUGUAACUGACGCUGAUGCUCGAGAGCGUGGGGAG